CGACGGGUGAGUAACACGUAUGCAAUCCACCUGUAACAGGGGAGUAACCCGAGAAAUCCGACUAAUACCCAUAAUAUGGGCGCUCCGCAUGGAGAGUCCAUUAAAGAGAGCAAUCUUGGUUACAGACGAGCAUGCGCUCCAUUAGCCAGUUGGCGGGGUAACGGCCCACCUAGUCUUCGAUGGAUAGGGGUUCUGAGAGGAAGGUCCCCCACAUUGGAACUGAGACACGGUCCAA
rnacentral:rRNA from 1 species